CACAGCUACCAUUAUGUGCCCACUGGAGGAGCAGCACUGUGCUUGGAAGAAAAUCAACACAGCUCAGGGAAUAGAAUUCAUGAGGCUCAAGAAAAUAAGAACAAGCGAAAAGAGGAUGACAAAGAAGCAAUAAGAUGCUCACGAUCUCCAGCUGCUCUUGCUGUACCUAACUCAUCACAGAUCUGCCCAGCUUGAAACCAAUCUCAUCCCCAAGUUACAGCAUGCCAUGUCACUGAGAACUGCGUACAGAGCAGCAGCCUGUUGCUGUCAGAUCUAACGACAGGCAACCAUGCAGAAUAAGACUUAAAGCUGCAGGUAGCUUACAGACAAGCACAGUAAAUGCCAUAUGCUGACCUGGAGAGCCCUGCUUGCCUAUUACUGGUAAUCACACAUCAGAUAACUACAGCGACAGAUACAAGAACAGCUUCCUUUUUCUUCCCUCUUUCCCUCAGAAAUGUAAAAGCUGGGAAGGGCCUGUACUUCAGGUGACAAUGCGGCCAGCCACAAAUCCUUUAGGGCAGCUUGUGCAGGGAAGGGUGCGGGAGGAGAGGAGCAGUGUUUUUCCUCUGGCCUGCAGGGACGGCACUCAGCUGAACAAGUCACGGUCCGCACGUAACACGAUGUCAGCUGCCAUUACCAAGGCAACGGCACCAGAUAACCCAAGCUGAAAACAUCCACAUCCAGUUCCUAA